rnacentral:rRNA from 1 species
AAAUUUAAACGGCCGCAGUACCCUGACUGUGCGAAGGUAGCAUAAUCAUUUGCUCUUUAAUUGGGAGCUGGAAUGAAUGGUUUGACGAGGGCUUAACUGUCUUAGAUUAAUUUGUUAGAAAUUGACUUUUAGGUGAAGAGGCCUAAAUUAGGCUAUAGGACAAGAAGACCCUAUUGAGCUUUAGUUUUUUACUUAAAUAAAAGUAUAUAGAUAGAGUUUAAUUAAGUAAUAUAUUUUGAUUGGGGCGAUCAAGGAAAAAGGUAAUCUUCCUUUAAUGUUAUAUAAGUUAUAUGAAUUGGUGAUCCAGGACUAUUCUGAUUAUAAGAAGAAGUUACCAUAGGGAUAACAGCGUAAUCUUUUUUGAGAGUUCUUAUCGAAAAAGAGGGUUGCGACCUCGAUGUUGGACUAAGGUGUCCUGAAGGUGUAGCAGCUUUCGAGGGUUGGUCUGUUCGACCAUUAAAACCUUACG